rnacentral:rRNA from 1 species
UGGUCAUGCGUCGCAUUAGCUAGUUGGCGGGGUAACGGCCCACCAAGGCGACGAUGCGUAGGGGUUCUGAGAGGAAGGUCCCCCACACUGGUACUGAGACACGGACCAGACUCCUACGGGAGGCAGCAGUGAGGAAUAUUGGUCAAUGGCCGCAGGGCUGAACCAGCCAAGUCGCGUGAGGGAUGACGGUCCUAUGGAUUGUAAACCUCUUUUGUCAGGGAGCAAAGGACGCCACGUGUGGCGUUUUGCGAGUACCUGAAGAAAAAGCAUCGGCUAACUCCGUGCCAGCAGCCGCGGUAAUACGGAGGAUGCGAGCGUUAUCCGGAUUUAUUGGGUUUAAAGGGUGCGCAGGCGGAAUGUCAAGUCAGCGGUAAAAUUUCGGGGCUCAACCCCGUCGUGCCGUUGAAACUGGCGUUCUUGAGUGAGCGAGAAGUAUGCGGAAUGCGUGGUGUAGCGGUGAAAUGCAUAGAUAUCACGCAGAACUCCGAUUGCGAAGGCAGCAUACCGGCGCUCAACUGACGCUCAUGCACGAAAGCGUGGGUAUCGAACAGGAUUAGAUACCCUGGUAGUCCACGCAGUAAACGAUGAAUACUAACUGUCCGGGCCGAUUGAGGUCUGG